rnacentral:rRNA from 1 species
UACAGAGGUGUCAAGCGUUGCUCGGGAUCACUGGGCUUAAAGGGCGCGUAGGCUGUGCGGUACGGUUCGGGUGAAAUCCCUCGGCUCAACCGAGGAACUGCCCGGGCGACGGCCGCGCUGGACUGCAUUAGGGGACGAUGGAACUCCCGGUGGAGCGGUGAAAUGCGUAGAUAUCGGGAGGAACGCCGGUGGCGAAAGCGAUCGUCUGGAGUGCAUGUGACGCUGAGGCGCGAAAGCUAGGGGAGCAAACGGG